ACACUAUGACGCGGGCUGGACCUCUCGGGGUUACAGCCUUGCUGAAUUAUUCACCCUUGUCUUUUGCGUACUUCUUGUUUCCUUGGUGGGUUCGCCCACCACUAGGACAAACAUAAACCUUUUGUAAUUGCAAUCAGCGUCAGUAACAAAUUAAUAAUUACAACUUUCAACAACGGAUCUCUUGGUUCUGGCAUCGAUGAAGAACGCAGCGAAAUGCGAUAAGUAGUGUGAAUUGCAGAAUUCAGUGAAUCAUCGAAUCUUUGAACGCACAUUGCGCCCUUUGGUAUUCCAAAGGGCAUGCCUGUUCGAGCGUCAUUUGUACCCUCAAGCUUUGCUUGGUGUUGGGCGUCUUGUCUCUAGCUUUGCUGGAGACUCGCCUUAAAGUAAUUGGCAGCCGGCCUACUGGUUUCGGAGCGCAGCACAAGUCGCACUCUCUAUCAGCAAAGGUCUAGCAUCCAUUAAGCCUUUUUUUCAACUUUUGACCUCGGAUCAGGUAGGGAUACCCGCUGAACUUAAGCAU
rnacentral:rRNA from 1 species